rnacentral:ncRNA from 1 species
GUAAAUACGAUGACAGGGAUAAGUAAGCAGAGAAGGGGUACUCCUUCAGAAAGCCGAUGGAUGAUGCGAAUCGGUGGAACCUCUUUGCCCAAUGGACCCAUGAGUGCUGUGUUGAACAGGAGUUAUUCUUAAUUCUUUAUUAGACGAGCCGGCUUAUUCUCCGUUACAGGAUAUCAAGGUUACAGUGAGGUGGAUCUGUGAAGAUUCUUUGUAUUCACUGUAAUAAAUUAGGGUGGCACCACGUCUCGCGUCCCUUUG